rnacentral:rRNA from 1 species
UACGGGGGGAGCGAGCGUUAUUCGGAAUGAUUAGGCGUAAAGGGCUUGUAGGUGGUUUUUUAAGUUGAAUAUGACAAAUUAAAGCUCAACUUUAUAAAUUUUUUCAAAACUGAAAAACUUGAGUAUAAAUAGAGGAUAAUGGAAUUUCUAUUGGAGGGAUAAAAUAUGUUGAUAAUAGAAGGAAGAUCAAAAGCGAAGGCAAUUAUCUGGGUAUAUACUGACACUGAGAAACGAAAGCUUGGGUAGCGAACGGG